rnacentral:rRNA from 1 species
CCUACGGGGGGCAGCAGUGGGGAAUAUUGCACAAUGGGGGGAACCCUGAUGCAGCGACGCCGCGUGGGUGAAGGAGCACCUCGGUGCGUAAAGCCCUAUCGGCAGGGAAGAAAGGCGGGCGGGGCCCGUCUGGACGGUACCUGACUAAGAAGCCCCGGCUAACUACGUGCCAGCAGCCGCGGUAAUACGUAGGGGGCAAGCGUUAUCCGGAUUCACUGGGUGUAAAGGGAGCGUAGACGGCGACGCAAGUCUGGAGUGAACGCCCGGGGCCCAACCCCGGGACUGCUCUGGAAACUGCGGCGCUGGAGUACGGGAGGGGCAGGCGGAAUUCCUGGUGUAGCGGUGAAAUGCGUAGAUAUCAGGAGGAACACCGGCGGCGAAGGCGGCCUGCUGGACCGUGACUGACGUUGAGGCUCGAGAGCGUGGGGAGCAAACAGGAUUAGAUACCCCAGUAGUC